rnacentral:lncRNA from 1 species
GACCCGUAGCAAGCCUAACAUACAUCCUAUCACCUGGUCAAAUCCCAUACAUGAUCAAAACUUUAACAUAAAAACUGUAACAUAUGAUGUAUAGACCGAGCUUGACCUGUAUGCGACACAACUGGAAACAUAAAGAACUCCCUACUAGAGCCCUCAUCAAAACUCUAGCUGGGUCAACAUAACAUACAUCAAGCUGGGAUCACAUCCAAAGAACUAGAAUCCUGAGUCUGAGCAUCCUCCUGAGAAUCUCCCAUACCUUCUUUCUGGCACUCUGAUUCCCAAACUGACAUCUCUUCUCUGAACAUCCAUCUCUACUUCUCUCGCACUAGCUGAUAUCCUUCUUGGAGCCACUCCUUCUCGGCUUACAUCAAAAGACCUUCCAGGGUACCUUGAUGUUCUCCAUCUGCUAACUCCCCACGACUGCACUCUAGGCAGGGCAGAGGGAAAGGUAUUCAUACCUUCCCUCUCAGAUGGAACUCCAGUCGAUUCCACAGAUCGACGAGUGCCUCGCAUCCUAGCUCCUCCGAAGAACAACACACAAGCAUACAAACAAUCAUUAGCAUCAUACGGUUCAGGUGGAAACACAUGAACCUGCAACAUACAUAGCAUACAUAGCAUAUCAUUAAUGCACAUGCAUAACAUCAUGGCAUUUCACAUCAUAAUCAUACAAGACAGGACUCCACAUCCUAUCCUAGUGGACAUGAUUUUGCCUAUUGUGCUUGCCCUUCUAGAACAUCUAUGAGUCUGACACACUCUAGGUCCGACCAUAUGAAUCUAGGGCUAUGAUACCACUCUGUAACAGCCUGGAAACCAAUAUCCCUCUGUAACGGCCCUAAUCGCUACCGGCGCUAGGAUCCAGAUCGGCUUAAGGCCGCCGGGACCCGUAGCAAGCCUAACAUACAUCCUAUCACCUGGUCAAAUCCCAUACAUGAUCAAAACUUUAACAUAAAAACUGUAACAUAUGAUGUAUAGACCGAGCUUGACCUGUAUGCGACAUAACUGGAAACAUAAAGAACCCCCUACUAGAGCCCUCAUCAAAACUCUAGCUGGGUCAACAUAACAUACAUCAAGCUGGGAUCACAUCCAAAGAACUAGAACCUAACCUGUGCAUGCAUCAAACCAUAAGCAUAAG